rnacentral:rRNA from 1 species
UACGUAGGGGGCAAGCGUUGUCCGGAAUCAUUGGGCGUAAAGAGCGUGUAGGCGGCCAGAAAAGUCCGCUGUGAAAACUCGAGGCUCAACUUCGAGCUGUCGGUGGAAACUUUCUGGCUAGAGUCCGGAAGAGGAGAAUGGAAUUCCUGGUGUAGCGGUGAAAUGCGCAGAUAUCAGGAAGAACACCCGUGGCGAAGGCGGUUCUCUGGGACGGUACUGACGCUGGAGACGCGAAAGCGUGGGAGCAACAGG